AAGGGGAUUACAGACUGGUUUUAAGGGGAUUACAGACUGGUUUUAAGGGGAUUACAGACUGUGGCUUUAAGGGGAUUACAGACUGUGGCUUUAAGGGGAUUACAGACUGUGGCUUUAAGGGGAUUACAGACUGGCUUCAAGGGGAUUACAGACUGACUUUAAGGGGAUUACAGACUGACUUUAAGGGGAUUACAGACUGUGGCUUUAAGGGGAUUACAGACUGUGGCUUUAAGGGGAUUACAGACUGUGGCUUUAAGGGGAUUACAGACUGGCUUCAAGGGGAUUACAGACUGACUUUAAGGGGAUUACAGACUGACUUUAAGGGGAUUACAGACUGGCUUUAAGGGCAUUACAGACUGUGGCUUUAAGGGGAUUACAGACUNNNNNNNNNNAUCUUGUUUACAUA
rnacentral:lncRNA from 13 species